GACGAACGCUGGCGGCGUGCUUAACACAUGCAAGUCGAACGGAAAGGCCCUGCUUUUGUGGGGUGCUCGAGUGGCGAACGGAUGAGUAACACGUGAGUAACCUGCCCUUGACUUUGGGAUAACUUCAGGAAACUGGGGCUAAUACCGGAUAGGAGCUCCUGCUGCAUGGUGGGGGUUGGAAAGUUUCGGCGGUUGGGGAUGGACUCGCGGCUUAUCAGCUUGUUGGUGGGGUAGUGGCUUACCAAGGCUUUGACGGGUAGCCGGCCUGAGAGGGUGACCGGCCACAUUGGGACUGAGAUACGGCCCAGACUCCUACGGGAGGCAGCAGUGGGGAAUAUUGCACAAUGGGCGGAAGCCUGAUGCAGCAACGCCGCGUGCGGGAUGACGGCCUUCGGGUUGUAAACCGCUUUCGCCUGUGACGAAGCGUGAGAGACGGUAAUGGGUAAAGAAGCACCGGCUAACUACGUG
rnacentral:rRNA from 1 species